CCUACGGGGGGCAGCAGUGGGGAAUUUUGGACAAUGGGCGAAAGCCUGAUCCAGCCAUGCCGCGUGCAGGAUGAAGGCCUUCGGGUUGUAAACUGCUUUUGUACGGAACGAAAAGACUCUGGUUAAUACCUGGGGUCCAUGACGGUACCGUAAGAAUAAGCACCGGCUAACUACGUGCCAGCAGCCGCGGUAAUACGUAGGGCGCAAGCGUUAAUCGGAAUUACUGGGCGUAAAGCGUGCGCAGGCGGUUAUAUAAGACAGAUGUGAGAUCCCCGGGCUCAACCUGGGAACUGCAUUUGUGACUGUAUAGCUAGAGUACGGCAGAGGGGGAUGGAAUUCCGCGUGUAGCAGUGAAAUGCGUAGAUAUGCGGAGGAACACCGAUGGCGAAGGCAAUCCCCUGGGCCUGUACUGACGCUCAUGCACGAAAGCGUGGGGAGCAAACAGGAUUAGAUACCCCGGUAGUCA
rnacentral:rRNA from 1 species